rnacentral:rRNA from 1 species
UACGGAGGGUGCAAGCGUUAUCCGGAUUCACUGGGUUUAAAGGGUGCGUAGGCGGGUUGGUAAGUCCGUGGUGAAAUCCCCAAGCUUAACUUGGGAACUGCCGUGGAUACCAUCAAUCUUGAAUAUCGUGGAGGUAAGCGGAAUAUGUCAUGUAGCGGUGAAAUGCUUAGAUAUGACAUAGAACACCAAUUGCGUAGGCAGCUUACUACACGAUCAUUGACGCUGAGGCACGAAAGCGCGGGGAGCAAACAGG